GCCCCCUCUUUAUGCGUUUGUGUUUUACCACCUCCAGGAGACUGCCCAAAGACUCUUCAGUAUCAUGGAGUUGGUAAAGCACAGAUGCAUGAAAAGUUCAAUGUG
ensembl:miRNA